CUCAUCCAGUAAGAUGUAACUGCAUCAUUGGGGUAGCGAGUUUUGGGGAUACAGAGGUGACGAUGUGUUUUAAGUGCAAACAGUUAGGAAAUAGGGCUGAAAGUGAUUGAGAUCCGAACUCUACAUAAUUCGUAGGUCAAUGUUUUAUUUCGGACGGAAGACAAUAUGUCUGUUUUUGCUUGGGCUAGGAAACAUAUGCCACGGCGGAGUCGGAGUG
rnacentral:ncRNA from 1 species